UCCGAAAAAGCAUUUGUUUGUAAAAAACCAAAGAUUCUGGAAGUUGAACCAAAUGAGAAGCCUCCAAAUAAGAAAGACCAAGAAGAGGCUGUUGUACCUGCUCACAUCACAACUUGGAUACUAGUGAUUCUGGCAAUUCUUAUUCUCAUUGGCGCUGGCCUUGUAGGCUAUUUCCUGUACAAGAAAAAGAGACCAAAUCAACUGCAAAGAGAUGGUCAAGGCACAGACACGUUGUUAAAAUGCAGUGAUGCUGUUUCAAAAACAAGUGAUAGAGAGGAUUCUGUACCCACUGUUGAGCACAUGGAACAAAUUAUUCUAUAGAGUAAUAAAAUAUGUGCCCAAUUUUGGUAAUAUUAGCCAACUAGAAUGGAAGAAAUCUUAAAUCAAAGCUCAUUUUUUCUUGUUUAAAUAGUAGUCUCUUUGUAUAUGUACUUAGCAGAAGCAUUUAUUCCUAUUAUAGUCAGGUAUCAUUCAAGAUCUUCUCAUAUACAAGUAGGUUUUACCAAAAGGAAGAUGGAGGGCUAUUCAAGUGGGUAAAUGGAUAUAAUUAAAACAACUAAAGCAGAGCAAACCAGUGUGAACAAAUAUUUAGGAAACUAUGGUUUCUAGUCAGAACUGGAUUGCCAUGAGAUAUAAUAAAUGGUCAAAGUCUUAGAGGAGUAGUAACGUUAAUCUGUAUCUUCAAAAACAACAAGGAGUCCUGUGGCAUCUUAGGCUAUGUCUAGACUACACCUCU